rnacentral:rRNA from 1 species
GAUGAACGCUGGCGGCGUGCCUAAUACAUGCAAGUCGAGCGAACGGACGAGAAGCUUGCUUCUCUGAUGUUAGCGGCGGACGGGUGAGUAACACGUGGAUAACCUACCUAUAAGACUGGGAUAACUUCGGGAAACCGUAGCUAAUACCGGAUAAUAUUUUGAACCGCAUGGUUCAAAAGUGAAAGACGGUCUUGCUGUCACUUAUAGAUGGAUCCGCGCUGCAUUAGCUAGUUGGUAAGGUAACGGCUUACCAAGGCAACGAUGCAUAGCCGACCUGAGAGGGUGUUCGGCCACACUGGAACUGAGACACGGUCCAGACUCCUACGGGAGGCAGCAGUAGGGAAUCUUCCGCAAUGGGCGAAAGCCUGACGGAGCAACGCCGCGUGAGUGAUGAAGGUCUUCGGAUCGUAAAACUCUGUUAUUAGGGAAGAACAUAUGUGUAAGUAACUGUGCACAUCUUGACGGUACCUAAUCAGAAAGCCACGGCUAGCUACGUG